rnacentral:lncRNA from 1 species
CUUUGCAAGUGGAUUGAUGAGUACGUUAACUGUAGCGUCGUCAAAGAAAAUCUCCCUCCUAAAGAUAAACUGAUAGCUUUUCUGCGACCCCGCUUAAGUGCUUCCUCUUGGAAGUAUUAGAAUUGAUCACUGAAGGGCCAUGUUAGCUGUGUGAGUUUAUGAUAUGAUCCAUGUUCUUCUAUCUUUGUAAUAAUAUCAUGUGGAUCUGUGUCCUAUAUUGUUGCUUCUGUUUACCUUAGGCGUAGGUCAUAUGUACCUAUUAGGAUGACGAAUAAGAGACAGUGUCCUUCAAAUCCUUGUGAUCAUUUUGAGUUCUCUAUGUAUCUUGAUGUCUGCUUUUCCUUUAUUAAUUUCAUGUUUAGAAAAUUUCUUUUCGAGACAUCUAAUUCAGAUAAUCAAAUGGCUAAAAGAGGUUCUCAGCUUUGGUACUUCAGCUUUAUGUUAUUUGAAAAUGAAAGGUUAGGUGGCUGCAAGAGUUUUCCACGGAAAAUUGAGAAUUCAUACACAAGACAUCCACAAGAGCAUGUUGAACGAAAAAGGCUUAGGAUUAAAAUAAUUUAUCAACUUGAUUUGAUUAAGGAUUCAAAAUAUUUGAGAUUGAUAAUCAAGAUAAGAUUAAGAAAUUUUUACCUGCAUUCGUCACUCUCAAAGUUAUGACUUUUAAGCACCACCCUCAACUUCUUGAUGGUGCAUGUUAUAUAUAUAUAUAUAUAUAUAAACAGUAAAUAAAUUCAGUAUGUUUGGCCAUGGUCGAGACGGAGUGAAAUGAAAACAACAACACAAGUAGCUUCUCCACUUUCACGCUUACGCGUAAACAUUUUCACCUAUGCAACACUUCUUUUCUAUGUUGGAUAAUUAGUUAAUCUUUUCAUUCUAGUAAUCUAAUUUAUUUUCCUUGAUAAAAGUGGUUGGUAGCUAAUGAUUGGUGUCUAGUAGACCAAAGUCCUUUCGAGUGUGCCUUCUAACUCUUGUAUACCAAAUAGGAUGCUUUCCAGCCCUAUCUAUUAAGGGCACUUUCUAGCCCUCAACCAUCAGAUAGUGCGUUUUCUAGCUCUAUUUUUUUUCUUUCUAGUAUGCUUUCUAGCUCUUGUAUACUAAAAUAGUGCGCUUUUUAGCCUUAUCCAUUAAAUGCACUUUCUAGCCUUACCUCUAUUUCCUUUGAAUGCAUCUUUGAACCCUCAUCUCCCUAAUAGUAUGCAUUUUAACCCUAUCUAUAUCUCUUUUGGGUGUGCUUUGGAACACUCAUCUCCCUAAUAAUAUGCUUUCUUGCCCUAUUUGUUACUGAGCACGCUUUUGACCCCUCACUUAUAACACUUUCAAAAGGAUUGAUCAUUUUUGAUAUGGUAAAUCCACAAUCUCCCAUUCUUUUUUCUUCUUUAAAAACUUAGUAUCAAAAGUUUCUUAUGAAACUUUCUAUCAUAAGACUUGUAUAGAGGGAGCAAUUUUCAUGACCCAUUUACCUUUUCCUUUCAAAAUAUAAAUAAUAAUAAAAAAUAAUAAUAAUAAUAAGACUGCCAGUUUGGCAAAGCAGGCUAAGGAAGGUUUCAAAUACGUAUAAAAAUCAAGCUGGAAUUUUGGAUGGGCCAAUAUGAUUUAAUCAUGGGCCAAAUUAAAAGUUUAAUUAUGUUUAGGAAUUAAUUUGGGUCAAAUUAAAAUAUUUAAUUAGAUGCAAGGACUUGAUUAUAAUUUUAAAGGGUCAAAUUCAUUUUAUUAGAGACUUAAUUGGUGAAAAAUUAAGUUUGAGAGCCUAAUAUGAGCUUAAUCAAGAAGAAUAAAAUUUUAGAGGGCCAAAUUUAAUUUUUAUGAAGUCAAUUGAUUGAAAUCAAGGAUAAAAUAGCAAGGAAAUCAAAGUUUAGGAUCAAUUAAGGGUUAAAUUGAACAGAUUUAUAACCAAUGACCUUUUUGAAAAAGUUAUUAAACUUUAGGGACUCAAUUAGUUUGAAAACAAGGGUUAAAUUGAAGUAAAUUGAAAGUUUAAUGGUUAAUUGAGGGUCGAUUUGUAUAAAUCUAAAAUCAAAGAUCAAAAUGAAAAAGACGUUGAAAUUCAGGGUUGGUAUUGGAGUUCGACAAGGGUAAAAUCACAUAAAAUUAAAAGUUUGAGGUCAAUUAGGGAUGCAAUUAAAAGAAAUCAAAAGUUAAAGGACUAAAUUAAACUUUAGUCAAAUCGCUAAUUAAAAUCUUAAGAAAAUAAAAACGGUGUCGUUUCACUUAAAUGAAAUGAUGCAUUUUGACCAAAACAGUUUGUUUUGGUACAAAACAACGUCGUUUUGACUAGCACAGGAACAAAAAAAAAAAAAGAGGCGUCAGACAACUUGUCAUCUGGUUGUUGUUCAUCAUCUUCAACCUUUUGUACCAGAAAGGCUGCUUGGGUGGUUAUUUUUUAGAGCAUUUAAUGCUUUGUCUCUCCACUAAAUCGGACAAACCAUACACCAUUAUAAUGGUUUGACAUUGUACUACACCCUAGCGUAGUUCUUGCUGAUUAAUUGCCUUUACAAUUGUUACGGUGUAGCCCUAAAAAGACUAACCCGAUCAGCCUUUAUCAGCCGACUCUAGCAGCUCAUUAUGAUAACUUUGAGCCAACAAUUGAGAUCAUUUUCGAUUGAAUCAAAAGCCAAGAAUGGUCCCUAUUAAAAACAAGAUGUCUUUCUUUCCCCCUAUAAAUAGAAAUGAAUUUCAUGCAUUAAGGAGCAAGAGAGAAGAGUGCAAAGUGAGCAAAACACCAGAUUUUUUAGCAUUUUCAACAUUGUUUUCUCUUCGUAGUCGUUACAAACUUCCUCUUUGUUGUGAAUCCUAGCAACUUCAGCAUCUACACCAUGAUCAACAACAUACUUAUAACUCCAUCUUCUCAUUAGCAAUAGGGGUAAUCUCAUUGACGCCUAAUCUCUUCCUUUAGCAGCAAUAUCCAUUUCAAACCAGUCUCUUUGUCUUUAGUUUCUCCACCAACAGCUCCAUUGUGAGCUGUUAGUAACAACCCAUCCAACCAAGGUAAGCUUCUUCAUCCUUCCUCCCCUGUAAUUUUAUACAUGUAUAGAGGACAUUUAUUAAUUCAUGUCCUAUAAGUGCUGGCUUUCGUCAGUAAAUAUAAGUUGGGCUGGACCCGUUUCAACCCAGCCCACAUGGCUGAGCCGGGUCCAACUCAUUAAAAAUAAAUAAAAAAGUAGAAAGGAUUGUUGGGCUUACAGUCGGCCCAAAAAUAUACUAAUAAAAACAUGGUUAUUAGUAGCACCCUAGUCUUUGUGAUAUAAUAAUAUACAAAGACUUUAAUUAAUCUCUAGUUUAGAUAGAGUACUCAGUUUUGCUCGUAUGAAAGGAGGGGUAAGCUGGGAAAAAUAUAGAGAAAUAUGCAUAUGAACUCAAAGAAAUUAUUUCAUAUACAAAAGACUAAGAAUCUAGGCUUAGAAAAUUUCUAAGAGAUUGUGGAUACCAUGCCCAUCAUCUAUACAAAUAUAUAAGUGGUUAUGUGAAACCAAAUAAGAGUGAACCUAUACUUAGAAACUUUUAAGUGAUUAUAGACUCGGUGAGUGGGAGCUAGCUUUUUCAGCAUUGUCAUGAGGCUUAAAAGCCUUUUACUAAAAAUUGGCCAUCAUGAUCUUUUUUUUUUUUGGUGACAAGGCAUUAGUGCCCCCCUAACUAAGAGUGGUGAUGACCAAUCACAUCCAUCCCUUGAAAAUUAAUGCAUUUAGCAUUGCAGAGAUUACAUUUAUCCUUAUCCUAAGAUACGUUUUGAAAAGCCUUCAGAUAUCACUUAGAGAGAAUAAAUAGUCAUUUUGAAUAAAUCAUUUAUAUUCAUGAAACUUAUAAUUUUUUCAAGGAUUAUACAUAUUGAGGUGACCUAAGUGAUAGGUAUGAGAGAGGUUCUUGGUGGUGUAACCAAACAACUCUUCAAUAACACAUUCUGUAAAAUGUUUCCUAAACGCAUAUGUUAAAAGGGGUUUGAAACUAAAAUUCUAAAGUUUGGCAGACAAGGAUCUAUUUGUUAAUUUUUUUUUUGCCAAUAAUUGGAUCUUUUAUCAAAUAUUAUUCUGAUUAUGAAAUUUACAAGCUCCAAUAAGCAUAAAUAUAUCGGUAGAGGAGAGAGAGAGUUUGAUAUUAUUAAUUGGAAAUUAAGAUAAAAGACUUUUAAUAAGUCAAAUAAAUUUUCCAACCUUCAGGCAAAUUAAUUAGCUUAGAUAAUGUUGAAUAUUAUGAUAACAAUUAUUUUUCAAAGUAUUUUUUAUUUAUAGUAUGUUUGGCCAUGGUCGAGACAGAGUGAAAUGAAAACAACAUCACAAGUAGCUUCUCCACUUUCACGUUUACGCGUAAACAUUUUCACCUAUGCAACACUUCUUUUCUAUGUUGGAUAAUUAGUUAAUCUUUUCAUUCUAGUAAUCUAAUUUAUUUUCCCUGAUAAAAGUGGUUGGUAGCUAAUGGUUGGUGUCUAGUAGACCAAUGUCCUUUUGAGUGUGCCUUCUAACUCUUGUAUACAAAAUAGGAAAGGAUUGUUGGGCCUGCAGUCGGCCCAAAAAUAUACUAAUAAAAACGUGGUUAUUAAUAGCACCCUAGUCUUUGUGAUAUAAUAAUAUGCAAAGACUUUAAUUAAUCUCUAGUUUAAAUAGAGUAGGGAGUUUUGCUCGUAUGAAAAGAGGGGCAAGCUGGGAAAAAUAUAGAGAAAUAUGCAUAUGAACUCAAAGAAAUUAUUUCAUAUACAAAAGACUAAGAAUCUAGACUUAGAAAAAUUUCUAAGAGAUUGAGAAUACUAUGGCCAUCAUCUAUACAAAUAUAUAAGUGGUUAUGUGAAACCCAAUAAGAGUGAACCUAUACUUAGAAACUUCCAAGUGAUUAUAGGCUCUUGGUUAGUGGGAGAUAGCUUUCUCAGCAUUGUCAUGAGGUUUAAAAACCUUUUACUAAAAAUUGGGCAUCAUGAUCUCUUUUUUUUUUUUUUGGUGACAAGGCAUUAGAGCCCCCCUAACUAAGAGUGGUGAUUACAUGAUGUUAUUUGUAUUAGGAAGAUCAAUCACAUCCAUCCCUUGAAAAUUAAUGCAUUUAGCAUUGCAGAGAUUACAUAUAUCCUUAUCCCAAGAUAGGUUUUGAAAGGCCUUCAGCUAUCACUUAGAGAGAAUAAAUAGUCAUUUUAAAUAAAUAAUUUAUAUUCAAGAAACUUAUAUUUUUUUCAAGGAUUAUACAUAUUGAGGUGACCUAAGUGAUAGGUAUGAGAGAGGUUCUUGGUGGUGUAACUAGACAACUCUUCAAUAACACAUUCUGUAAAAUGUUUCCUAAACGUAUAUGUUAAGAAGGGUUUGAAACUAAAAUUCUAAAGUUUGGCAGACAAGGAUCUAUUUUGUUAAUUGUUUUUGCCAAUAAUUGGAUCUUUUAUCAAAUAUUAUUCUAAUUAUGAAAUUUGCAAGCUCCAAUAAGCAUAAAUAUAUCGGUAGAGGAGAGAGAGAGAGAGAGAGAGUUUGAUGAUAUUAAUUGGAAAUUAAGAUAAAAGACUUUUAAUAAGUCAAAUAAAUUUUCCAACCUUCAAGCAAAUUAAUUAGUUUAGAUAAUGUUGAAUAUUAUGAUAACAAUUAUUUUUCAAAGUAUUUUUUAUUUAAAAAUUUAUCAAAUAAUUUUUUAUUUUGUUUUUUAAAAUUUAUUUUUGAUAUCAGUACAUCAAAUAAUUUAAAAAUAAAAAUAAAAAAUAACUUUAAACAAAAACUUAAAAUUAAAAAAAAAUAUUUUUUUAAAAAAACACGAUUUGAAUGCAAAACAAACAUACCUAAAUAAUUAAAUUUGGAAACCAAUAUAAAAUGCAUUCAGUCAAAUUGUUUUUGGCAGUGCUCUUGCAUAUAACCCUUCGAAUGAAACUCGAUACAUCCAAGAACGAUCAUUCAUUACUUAUAUUAAAUCUAUAUAGAAUAUUGAUGACAAUAUGUAUUAAUUAAUAAUGUGAACUAAGAAAAUUAUUGGUACUUAAUUAAUUAGUCAUAAUUGGUUUAGUUCAAACUUAUUCAAUCCAUUUUAAUAGUACCUUUCAAACAUUAUUAAUUUUCUAAAAAUUUUGGCUUCUCUAUAUUUGCUGAAAUUUUCAACUUAACAAUAAAAUUGACAAAAUAAAAAACAUACCUAUUAAAUAAGCCAUUGUUUAUUUCAUACAAAUUACAUAAAUCACAAAAUCAAACUCAAUUUCAUCAAAUUACAAACAAAUACAAUGUUUGAAAAUUUCAAACAAACCCUAACAGUACAAAUCAUAUAUUCAUAUAAUAAAUUUCUAUAAGAAAAAGCUAUAUAACAAGUAAACACAAAAGUAAACUACAUGUUCUAUAUCAAAAUGACAAAAAAAUUAACAUUUUAAAAAUGGAUUACAAAAAAAAAAAAAAAUAGUUUUGCUUAUUUGAUGUGGCCAAUGUUUUUAAAAAACAAAACAAAAAACAAAAAAAAGGAAAGAGAGGGGGUCAUUUGUCAGGUUAUAACUUAAAUAUUAUUGAUGGAUUUCUUGAUACAAAUUAGCGAUGGUCAUAUUUCUUUGAUAAUUCCGCCUGUAAUAAUAAACAUUAUUUUUCUUUUUAUUUCCUUUAUUUUCAACAGUUAUUCUCUAGGUAUAAAUUAUCGAUGAGUUUUUUUAUUAAUAAUUCUAUUUAUAUUUGAUAAUAUUUUGAUAGUGUAACCAGACAGCUCUUCAAUAACCAGACAGCUCUUCAAUAACAAUGUUCUGCCAAAUGUUUCCUAAACACAUAUGUUAAGAAGGGUUUCAAAUUAAAAUUCUAAAGUUUGGCAGACAAUUAUCUAUCCCUGAAUUUAUGGCCACUAAUUGGAUCUUACUAGCUCUAAUAUAUAUAUACAUCUAGGAUAGGUUGAUAGAGGAGAGAGAAAGAGUGGAAAUUAAGAUAAAAUAAUAAGUCCAAUAAAUUUUCCAAUCUUCAGUCAAAUUAAUUAGCUCACAACACUAAGAUAAUGUUUAAUAUAAUGAUUUUAGUUGUUUUUAAUAGUAUUUUUUUUAUUUUAAAAUAUAUUAAAAUAAUAAUUUAUUUUCGAUAUUAGUACAUAAAAAUAAUAAAAAAUUUAAAAUUUUCCAUUUAAAACAAAAACAAAACAAAAAUGCCAGAUUGUUGAAAUUAAAACGAAUAUAAAAUGCAUUCAGUGAUGCUGAGAGGGAGAGGUAUUAAGAUUUAAGAAUGUUAUUUUGAAAGGACUUCUACCCACCGCCGUUUACUAUUAUCAAAUACGAUGAAAAUGUCAAAACUCAAAGAGUAAGAAAUUGGGUACUUCCUUUCUGAUCAAGUAAUCUUGAUCCCCAUAACUCGAUAAAUAGGCAUGCAGAGAACCUGGAAGCAGCACAGCACUAUAAAGUUGCUUACGAAUAUUCAACAGAGCAAAUAGGCAGAAGUGAUAAAUACUUGUGAUAUGGCUGAAGUGAAGUUGCUUGGAGCAUGGGGAAGCCCUUUUAGUCGCAGAGUGGAGAUGGCUCUUAAAUUGAAAGGUGUUGAAUAUGAAUACAUAGAAGAAGACUUAGCUAACAAGAGCCCUUUGCUUCUCAAACACAACCCCAUUCACAAGAAAGUCCCUGUCCUCCUCCACAACGGAAAAACAAUGGCAGAGUCGCUUGUGAUUCUUGAGUACAUAGAUGAAACUUGGAAGAGCAACCCCAUCUUACCUGAAGAUCCUUAUGACAAAGCCAUGGCUCGAUUCUGGGCUAAAUUCAUCGACGAGAAGGUAAGACCAUUAAUUUCUUCAGUUUUUCUUUAAUUAAAAUAAGCAGCUUACGUACUACAUAUAUACUAUAAUACUUGUAUUGAAUAAAAAAAGGAGGAUGAAGAAAAAAAUACAACUCAAAUUCGGUUUUGAAUUUCCCUUUCUAUAGUGUAUGCCUGCAAUAUGGCAAAUCAUGUGGUCUAAAGAGAAUGAACGUGAGAAGGCCAUAGAAGAAGCGAUUCAGCACCUGAAAACUUUGGAAAAUGAGCUCAAAGACAAGAAAUUCUUUGGGGAGAGACAAUAGGGCUGGUAGACAUUGUUGCCAAUUUCAUAGGCUUCUGGUUGGGAGCCGCUGAAGAAGCUACUGGGAUGGAGUUGGUGAAUAAAGAGAGGUUUCCCGUACUUUGCAAGUGGAUUGAUGAGUACGUUAACUGUAGCGUCGUCAAAGAAAAUCUCCCUCCUAAAGAUAAACUGAUAGCUUUUCUGCGACCCCGCUUAAGUGCUUCCUCAUGGAAGUAUUAGAAUUGAUCACUGAAGGGCCAUGUUAGCUGUGUGAGUUUAUGAUAUGAUCCAUGUUCUUCUUUCUUUGUAAUAAUAUCAUGUGGAUCUGUGUCCUAUAUUGUUGCUUCUGUUUACCUUAGGCGUAGGUCAUAUGUACCUAUUAGGAUGACGAAUAAGAGACAGUGUCCUUCAAAUCCUUGUGAUCAUUUUGAGUUCUCUAUGUAUCUUGAUGUCUGCUUUUCCUUUAUUAAUUUCAUGUUUAGAAAAUUUCUUUUCGAGACAUCUAAUUCAGAUAAUCAAAUGGCUAAAAGAGGUUCUCAGCUUUGGUACUUCAGCUUUAUGUUAUUUGAAAAUGAAAGGUUAGGUGGCUGCAAGAGUUUUCCACGGAAAAUUGAGAAUUCAUACACAAGACAUCCACAAGAGCAUGUUGAACGAAAAAGGCUUAGGAUUAAAAUAAUUUAUCAACUUGAUUUGAUUAAGGAUUCAAAAUAUUUGAGAUUGAUAAUCAAGAUAAGAUUAAGAAAUUUUUACCUGCAUUCGUCACUCUCAAAGUUAUGACUUUUAAGCACCACCCUCAACUUCUUGAUGGUGCAUGUUAUAUAUAUAUAUAUAUAAACAGUAAAUAAAUUCAGUAUGUUUGGCCAUGGUCGAGACGGAGUGAAAUGAAAACAACAACACAAGUAGCUUCUCCACUUUCACGCUUACGCAUAAACAUUUUCACCUAUGCAACACUUCUUUUCUAUGUUGGAUAAUUAGUUAAUCUUUUCAUUCUAGUAAUCUAAUUUAUUUUCCUUGAUAAAAAUGGUUGGUAGCUAAUGAUUGGUGUCUAGUAGACCAAAGUCCUUUUGAGUGUGCCUUCUAACUCUUGUAUACCAAAUAGGAUGUUUUCUAGCCCUAUCUAUUAAGGACACUUUCUAGCCCUCAACCAUCAGAUAGUACGUUUUCUAGCUCUAUUUUUUUUCCUUUCUAGUAUGCUUUCUAGCUCUUGUAUACUAAAAUAGUGCGCUUUUUAGCCUUAUCCAUUAAAUGCACUUUCUAGCCUUACCUCUAUUUCCUUUGAAUGCAUCUUUGAACCCUCAUCUCCCUAAUAGUAUGCAUUUUAACCCUAUCUAUAUCUCUUUUGGGUGUGCUUUGGAACACUCAUCUCCCUAAUAAUAUGCUUUCUUGCCCUAUUUGUUACUGAGCAUGCUUUUGACCCCUCACUUAUAACACUUUCAAAAGGAUUGAUCAUUUUUGAUAUGGUAAAUCCACAAUCUCCCAUUCUUUUUUCUUCUUUAAAAACUUAGUAUCAAAAGUUUCUUAUGAAACUUUCUAUCAUAAGACUUGUAUAGAGGGAGCAAUUUUCAUGACCCAUUUACCUUUUCCUUUCAAAAUAUAAAUAAAAAAAAAACAAUAAUAAUAAUAAGACUGCUAGUUUGGCAAAGCAGGCUAAGGAAGGUUUCAAAUACGUAUAAAAAUCAAGCUGGAAUUUUGGAUGGGCCAAUAUGAUUUAAUCAUGGGCCAAAUUAAAAGUUUAAUUAUGUUUAGGAAUUAAUUUGGGUCAAAUUAAAAUAUUUAAUUAGAUGCAAGGACUUGAUUAUAAUUUUAAAGGGUCAAAUUCAUUUUAUUAGAGACUUAAUUGGUGAAAAAUUAAGUUUGAGAGCCUAAUAUGAGCUUAAUCAAGAAGAAUAAAAUUUUAGAGGGCCAAAUUUAAUUUUUAUGAAGUCAAUUGAUUGAAAUCAAGGAUAAAAUAGCAAGGAAAUCAAAGUUUAGGAUCAAUUAAGGGUUAAAUUGAACAGAUUUAUAACCAAUGACCUUUUUGAAAAAGACGUUAAACUUUAGGGACUCAAUUAGUUUGAAAACAAUGGUUAAAUUGAAGUAAAUUGAAAGUUUAAUGGUUAAUUGAGGGUCGAUUUGUAUAAAUCUAAAAUCAAAGAUCAAAAUGAAAAAGACGUUGAAAUUCAGGGUUGGUAUUGGAGUUCGACAAGGGUAAAAUCACAUAAAAUUAAAAGUUUGAGGUCAAUUCGGGAUGCAAUUAAAAGAAAUCAAAAGUUAAAGGACUAAAUUAAACUUUAGUCAAAUCGCUAAUUAAAAUCUUAAGAAAAUAAAACGGUGUCGUUUCACUUAAAUGAAAUGAUGCAUUUUGACCAAAACAGUUUGUUUUGGUACAAAACAACAUCGUUUUGACUAGCACAGGAACAAAAAAAAAAAAAAGAGGCGUCAGACAACUUGUCGUCUGGUUGUUGUUCAUCAUCUUCAACCUUUUGUACCAGAAAGGCUGCUUGGGUGGCUAUUUUUUAGAGCAUUUAAUGCUUUGUCUCUCCACUAAAUCGGACAAACCAUACACCAUUAUAAUGGUUUGACAUUGUACUACACCCUAGCGUAGUUCUUGCUGAUUAAUUGCCUUUACAAUUGUUACGGUGUAGCCCUAAAAAGACUAACCCGAUCAGCCUUUAUCAGCCGAUUCUAGCAGCUCAUUAUGAUAACUUUGAGCCAACAAUUGAGAUCAUUUUCGAUUGAAUCAAAAGCCAAGAAUGGUCCCUAUUAAAAACAAGAUGUCUUUCUUUCCCCCUAUAAAUAGAAAUGAAUUUCAUGCAUUAAGGAGCAAGAGAGAAGAGUGCAAAGUGAGCAAAACACCAGAUUUUUUAGCAUUUUCAACAUUGUUUUCUCUUCGUAGUCGUUACAAACUUCCUCUUUGUUGUGAAUCCUAGCAACUUCAGCAUCUACACCAUGAUCAACAACAACCCAACAUACUUAUAACUCCAUCUUCUCAUUAGCAAUAGGGGUAAUCUCAUUGACGCCUAAUCUCUUCCUUUAGCAGCAAUAUCCAUUUCAAACCAGUCUCUUUGUCUUUAGUUUCUCCACCAACAGCUCCAUUGUGAGCUGUUAGUAACAACCCAUCCAACCAAGGUAAGCUUCUUCAUCCUUCCUCCCCUGUAAUUUUAUACAUGUAUAGAGGACAUUUAUUAAUUAAUGUCCUAUAAGUGUUGGCUUUCGUCAGUAAAUAUAAGUUGGGUUGGACCCGUUUCAACCCAGCCCACAUGGCUGAGCCGGGUCCAACUCAUUAAAAAUAAAUAAAAAAGUAGAAAGGAUUGUUGGGCUUACAGUUGGCCCAAAAAUAUACUAAUAAAAACAUGGUUAUUAGUAGCACCCCUAACUAAGAGUGGUGAUGACCAAUCACAUCCAUCCCUUGAAAAUUAAUGCAUUUAGCAUUGCAGAGAUUACAUCUAUCCUUAUCCUAAGAUACGUUUUGAAAAGCCUUCAGAUAUCACUUAGAGAGAAUAAAUAGUCAUUUUGAAUAAAUCAUUUAUAUUCAUGAAACUUAUAAUUUUUUCAAGGAUUAUACAUAUUGAGGUGACCUAAGUGAUAGGUAUGAGAGAGGUUCUUGGUGGUGUAACCAAACAACUCUUCAAUAACACAUUCUGUAAAAUGUUUCCUAAACGCAUAUGUUAAAAGGGGUUUGAAACUAAAAUUCUAAAGUUUGGCAGACAAGGAUCUAUUUGUUAAUUUUUUUUUUCCAAUAAUUGGAUCUUUUAUCAAAUAUUAUUCUGAUUAUGAAAUUUACAAGCUCCAAUAAGCAUAAAUAUAUCGGUAGAGGAGAGAGAGAGUUUGAUGAUAUUAAUUGGAAAUUAAGAUAAAAGACUUUUAAUAAGUCAAAUAAAUUUUCCAACCUUCAGGCAAAUUAAUUAGCUUAGAUAAUGUUGAAUAUUAUGAUAACAAUUAUUUUUCAAAGUAUUUUUUAUUUAAAAAUUUAUCAAAUAAUUUUUUAUUUUGUUAUUUAAAAUUUAUUUUUGAUAUCAGUACAUCAAAUAAUUUAAAAAUAAAAAUAAAAAAUAACUUUAAACAAAAACUUAAAAUUAAAAAAAUAAAUUUUUUUAAAAAAAACACGAUUUGAAUGCAAAACAAACAUACCUAAAUAAUUGAAUUUGGAAACCAAUAUAAAAUGCAUUCAGUCAAAUUGUUUUUGGCAGUGCUCUUGGAUAUAACCCUUCGAAUGAAACUCGAUACAUCCAAUAACGAUCAUUCAUUACUUAUAUUAAAUCUAUAUAGAAUAUUGAUGACAAUAUGUAUUAAUUAAUAAUGUGAACUAAAAAACUUAUUGGUACUUAAUUAAUUAGCCAUAAUUGGUUUAGUUCAAACUUAUUCAAUCUAUUUUAAUAGUACCUUUCAAACAUUAUUAAUUUUCUAAAAAUUUUGGCUUCUCUAUAUUUGCUGAAAUUUUCAACUUAACAAUAAAAUUGACAAAAUAAAAAACAUACUUAUUAAAUAAGCCAUUGUUUAUUUCAUACAAAUUACAUAAAUCACAAAAUCAAACUCAAUUUCAUCAAAUUACAAACAAAUACAAUGUUUGAAAAUUUCAAACAAACCCUAACAGUACAAAUCAUAUAUUCAUAUAAUAAAUUUCUAUAGGAAAAAGCUAUAUAACAAGUAAACACAAAAGUAAACUACAUAUUCUAUAUCAAAAUGACAAAAAAAUUAACAUUUUAAAAAUGGAUUACAAAAAAACAAAAAAGUAGUUUUGCUUACUUGAUGUGGCCAUUUUUUUUAAAAAACAAAACAAAAAACAAAAAAAAAGAAAGAGAGGGGGUCAUUUGUCAGGUUAUAACUUAAAUAUUAUUGAUGGAUUCCUUGAUACAAAUUAGCGAUGGUCAUAUUUCUUUGAUAAUUCCGCCUGUAAUAAUAAACAUUAUUUUUCUUUUUAUUUCCUUUAUUUUCAACAGUUAUUCUCUAGGUAUACACCAACAUAAAAUUUCUCUCGUAAAUAUCAAAGGACUUAGUGAGAAGAUGCUUUGUCGAUAAAUAUUACUAUAAAUUAUCGAUGAGUUUUUUUAUUAAUAAAUCUAUUUAUAUUUGAUAAUAUUUUGAUAGUGUAACCAGACAGCUCUUCAAUAACAAUGUUCUGCCAAAUGUUUCCUAAACACAUAUGUUAAGAAGGGUUUCAAAUUAAAAUUCUAAAGUUUGGCAGACAAUUAUCUAUCCCUGAAUUUAUGGCCACUAAUUGGAUCUUACUAGCUCUAAUAUAUAUAUACAUCUAGGAUAGGUUGACAGAGGAGAGAGAAAGAGUGGAAAUUAAGAUAAAAUAAUAAGUCCAAUAAAUUUUCCAAUCUUCAGUCAAAUUAAUUAGCUCACAACACUAAGAUAAUGUUUAAUAUAAUGAUUUUAGUUGUUUUUAAUAGUAUUUUUUUUAUUUAAAAUUAUAUUAAAAUAAUAAUUUAUUUUCGAUAUUAGUACAUAAAAAUAAUAAAAAAUUUAAAAUUUUCCAUUUAAAACAAAAACAAAACAAAAAUGCCAGAUUGUUGAAAUUAAAACGAAUAUAAAAUGCAUUCAGUGAUGCUGAGAGAGAGAGGUAUUAAGAUUUAAGAAUGUUAUUUUGAAAGGACUUCUACCCACCGCCGUUUACUAUUAUCAAAUACGAUGAAAAUGUCAAAACUCAAAGAGUAAGAAAUUGGGUACUUCCUUUCUGAUUAAGUAAUCUUGAUCCCCAUAACUCGAUAAAUAGGCAUGCAGAGAACCUAGAAGCAGCACAGCACUUCAAAGUUGCUUACGAAUAUUCAACAGAGCAAAUAGGCAGAAGUGAUAAAUACUUGUGAUAUGGCUGAAGUUAAGUUGCUUGGAGCAUGGGGAAGCCCUUUUAGUCGCAGAGUGGAGAUGGCUCUUAAAUUGAAAGGUGUUGAAUAUGAAUACAUAGAAGAAGACUUAGCUAACAAGAGCCCUUUGCUUCUCAAACACAACCCCAUUCACAAGAAAGUCCCUGUCCUCCUCCACAACGGAAAAACAAUGGCAGAGUCGCUUGUGAUUCUUGAGUACAUAGAUGAAACUUGGAAGAGCAACCCCAUCUUACCUGAAGAUCCUUAUGACAAAGCCAUGGCUCGAUUCUGGGCUAAAUUCAUCGACGAGAAGGUAAGACCAUUAAUUUCUUCAGUUUUUCUUUAAUUAAAAUAAGCAGCUUACGUACUACAUAUAUACUAUAAUACUUGUAUUGAAUAAAAAAAGGAGGAUGAAGAAAAAAAUACAACUCAAAUUCGGUUUUGAAUUUCCCUUUCUAUAGUGUAUGCCUGCAAUAUGGCAAAUCAUGUGGUCUAAAGAGAAUGAACGUGAGAAGGCCAUAGAAGAAGCGAUUCAGCACCUGAAAACUUUGGAAAAUGAGCUCAAAGACAAGAAAUUCUUUGGAGGAGAGACAAUAGGGCUGGUAGACAUUGUUGCCAAUUUCAUAGGCUUCUGGUUGGGAGCCGUUGAAGAAGCUACUGGGAUGGAGUUGGUGAAUAAAGAGAGGUUUCCCAUACUUUGUAAAUGGAUUGACGAGUAUGUCAACUGUAGCGUCGUCAAAGAAAAUAUUCCUCCUAGAGAUAAAUUGAUAGCUUUUCUGCGAUCCCACUUGAGUGCUUCCUCUAUGAAGUAUUAGAAUUGAUCACUGAAGGGCAAUGUUAGCUGUGUGAGUUUAUGAUAUGAUCCAUGUUCUUCUUUCUUUGUAAUAAUAUCAUGUGGAUCUGUGUCCUAUAUUGUUGCUUCUGUUUACCUUAGGCGUAGGUCAUAUGUACCUAUUAGGAUGACGAAUAAGAGACAGUGUCCUUCAAAUCCUUGUGAUCAUUUUGAGUUCUCUAUGUAUCUUGAUGUCUGCUU